rnacentral:lncRNA from 1 species
UAUUAGUAUAUGAAUUAUAAAUAAAUAAAAGUUAUUUUGAUAUUUUUCAUCACAAAUUAUUUCAUCUUCUAAUGAACUCCUGUGUUGUGGUGAAGUCCUUAGGACUAUUUAGACUCGACAAAGGAGGAUUUAUCGUUUAGUCCUUAAACCUGUUCGUGACCAAAUGAUACGUUGUUACCAAGGACGACAACAUUUAUCAAGCAUAG